GAUGAACGCUGGCGGCGUGCCUAAUACAUGCAAGUCGAGCGAACAGACGAGGAGCUUGCUCCUCUGACGUUAGCGGCGGACGGGUGAGUAACACGUGGAUAACCUACCUAUAAGACUGGGAUAACUUCGGGAAACCGGAGCUAAUACCGGAUAACAUGUUGAACCGCAUGGUUCAACAGUGAAAGACGGUCUUGCUGUCACUUAUAGAUGGAUCCGCGCCGCAUUAGCUAGUUGGUAAGGUAACGGCUUACCAAGGCAACGAUGCGUAGCCGACCUGAGAGGGUGAUCGGCCACACUGGAACUGAGACACGGUCCAGACUCCUACGGGAGGCAGCAGUAGGGAAUCUUCCGCAAUGGGCGAAAGCCUGACGGGGCAACGCCGCGUGAGUGAAGAAGGUCUUCGGAUCGUAAAACUCUGUUAUUAGGGAAGAACAAAUGUGUAAGUAACUAUGCACGUCUUGACGGUACCUAAUCAGAAAGCCACGGCUAACUACGUG
rnacentral:rRNA from 1 species